UAGGGAAUCUUCGGCAAUGGACGAAAGUCUGACCGAGCAACGCCGCGUGAGUGAAGAAGGUUUUCGGAUCGUAAAACUCUGUUGUUAGAGAAGAACAAGGACGUUAGUAACUGAACGUCCCCUGACGGUAUCUAACCAGCAAGCCACGGCUAACUACGUGCCAGCAGCCGCGGUAAUACGUAGGUGGCAAGCGUUGUCCGGAUUUAUUGGGCGUAAAGCGAGCGCAGGCGGUUUCUUAAGUCUGAUGUGAAAGCCCCCGGCUCAACCGGGGAGGGUCAUUGGAAACUGGGAGACUUGAGUGCAGAAGAGGAGAGUGGAAUUCCAUGUGUAGCGGUGAAAUGCGUAGAUAUAUGGAGGAACACCAGUGGCGAAGGCGGCUCUCUGGUCUGUAACUGACGCUGAGGCUCGAAAGCGUGGGGAGCAAACAGG
rnacentral:rRNA from 1 species